CAGCACGGGGGCAACCCUGGUGGCGAGUGGCGAACGGGUGAGUAAUACAUCGGAACGUGCCCAGUCGUGGGGGAUAACUACGCGAAAGCGUAGCUAAUACCGCAUACGAUCUACGGAUGAAAGCGGGGGAUCGCAAGACCUCGCGCGAUUGGAGCGGCCGAUGGCAGAUUAGGUAGUUGGUGGGGUAAAGGCUCACCAAGCCUUCGAUCUGUAGCUGGUCUGAGAGGACGACCAGCCACACUGGGACUGAGACACGGCCCAGACUCC
rnacentral:rRNA from 1 species